rnacentral:rRNA from 1 species
UACGUAGGGGGCAAGCGUUGUCCGGAAUCAUUGGGCGUAAAGCGCGUGUAGGCGGCCCGGUAAGUCCGCUGUGAAAGUCCAGGGCUCAACCCUGGGAUGCCGGUGGAUACUGUCGGGCUCGAGUCCGGAAGAGGCGAGUGGAAUUCCCGGUGUAGCGGUGAAAUGCGCAGAUAUCGGGAGGAACACCAAUGGCGAAGGCAGCGCGCUGGGACGUUACUGACGCUGAGACGCGAAAGCGUGGGGAGCAAACAGG